rnacentral:rRNA from 1 species
AUGGAGCCAUUACGCGUCGCCUUCCCUGGCCUAUUCUCGAUUUGUGUAGACCCGUCUGUUCUUGUGGCCACGGCCUUCCAAGAUGGACAGUGGAACCUUGAGUUCCGUCGCUCGUUCGGACCGGCCGAGAUUAAUGACUGGACUACAUUGCGGGCCGCCCUGCCACUCGUGCACCCGGAUUAUCCGGACACAGUUUCAUGGCGGCACACGCCGACAGCGGAGUUCUCAGUGGGCACGGCUUACCAGGCCCUUUGCCCGCCGACAACUCACCCCUGGCUUGUCCCUCUAUGGAAAGCCCCCGUCCCAUUAAAGAUUAAGAUUUUUGUUUGGCAACUUCUACGAGAUCGUCUCCCCUCGGGGACAGAGGCACUUAAGCGGCACGGACCUGGGGAUGGUAUUUGCCCCCUCUGUGCAGUACCGGAGACUGGGACACAUAUUCUCUUCUCUUGUACGGCAGCGAGGGUAUUAUGGACUUUCGUCUGCGAGGCGUUGGGGCCUGACUGGGAGGCCCUAAAUCUCGCGGAGUUCCUGCAGCUUCGAGCUAUACAGCCUACACGACAUCGCCGCCUAUUUUGGCUUAUUUUUGCGGCAAUGUUGUGGACUCUUUGGACGACUAGGAAUAAGAUGGUGAUUGAGAAGGUUUUCCCAAAGAAGGCUUCUGACUCCUUCUUCAAAUUCCUUACUUUCUUGCAGCACUGGCACCCGCUCUCGAGGCAGCGUGAUCGUGAUCGCCUUGGCUUGAUGAUGGAUGCGCUUUUGGCCUCGGCGCGUCGGCUGUCGUCCUCGUAG